rnacentral:lncRNA from 10 species
AUAAGCUCUAAAGGAUUAUUAGAAACUAGGGAGAGAGGAGCUGACUGGUAGAAAUGGGGAGUGUUUCAGGGAGAGCAAAAAGCCCAUUCAAAAACCUCAUGCAAAGAAGAGUUGGGCAAUUUGAAGAAUUGAAAUGAAACUCUAGGACUGGGCACGGAGAAUGUGAAGAAGUGAGGAGGGGUUGGAGCUGGAGAGAUAGGUGGGACUGGAUCCCAUACAACUUGAGUGUUGCUGGAGAUGGCCACUGGAGAGGCUGAGUCAAAUCAAUCUCCUCACCUGAGGACUUCCUAAGACCAGCGCACUGAAGGACCAGCAGCAACAACAACAAUAAUGCUAAUGCUCCCUUAUGGACAAGACUGCAAUUCUCUGCCUGCUGAAGCUCAGCUAUGACCACGUGACUUGCCUUGGCCAAUGAAAGAGGAAGAGUAUGUAACACUGCUGAAUGGAAGCAAGUGGCCCCUGCCCCUGCUGCAGAGAUUCUAGACAUGUGUGCCAUGCUGGAGCAAGGAGACAGGGAGUCCUGGAGAAAGGAGACAUGGAACAGAGCUCCCA